UACGUAGGUGGCAAGCGUUAUCCGGAAUUAUUGGGCGUAAAGAGCUCGUAGGCGGUCUGUCGCGUCUGCUGUGAAAACUCGGGGCUUAACCCCGGGCCUGCAGUGGGUACGGGCAGACUAGAGUGCGGUAGGGGAGACUGGAAUUCGUGGUGUAGCGGUGAAAUGCGCAGAUAUCAGGAGGAACACCGGUGGCGAAGGCGGGUCUCUGGGCCGUAACUGACGCUGAGGAGCGAAAGCAUGGGGAGCGAACAGG
rnacentral:rRNA from 1 species